rnacentral:rRNA from 1 species
UACGUAGGGUGCAAGCGUUGUCCGGAAUUAUUGGGCGUAAAGAGCUCGUAGGCGGUUUGUUGCGUCGGCUGUGAAAUCCCGAGGCUCAACCUCGGGUCUGCAGUCGAUACGAGCAAACUAGAGUGUUGCAGGGGAGACUGGAAUUCCUGGUGUAGCGGUGAAAUGCGCAGAUAUCAGGAGGAACACCGGUGGCGAAGGCGGGUCUCUGGGCAACAACUGACGCUGAGGCGCGAAAGCGUGGGUAGCAAACGGG